rnacentral:tRNA from 2 species
GUGGGCGUAGCUCAGUCGGUUAGAGCGCCGGAUUGUGGUUCCGGAGGUCGCCGGUUCGAAUCCGGUCGCCCACC